rnacentral:rRNA from 1 species
GGGUCAGUAGGUUGGUCGUGCCACCGGUACGUACUGGUCUCACUGAUUCCUCCUUCCUGAAGAACCGUAAUGCCAUUAAUUUGGUGUUGCGGGGAAACAGGUCUGUUACUUUGAAAAAAUUAGAGUGUUUAAAGCAAGCUAACGCUUGAAUACAUUAGCAUGGAAUGAUGAAAUAGGACGAUCGAUCCUAUUUUGUUGGUUUCUAGGAUUGACGUA